rnacentral:lncRNA from 1 species
UUUGUACUACCACAACAACAACUAUCACCACCACCCCUGCGUGUGUGUGUGUGUGAAUUAACUCCUUUACAGCGCCAUUAUUCACACUUUACAGGACGCUCAUUGGCUGCGAUCAAGUACAUCGGACGUGAUUGGACGACAGAGGUUGCUUGGUGAUUGGCGGAUGAAGAUGACGUAUGAGCCACGAGGCCCCGGAUGAAGCUACCAGUGAGGUAUGACUGGCCUCUACAGUACCAGUGAGGUAUGACUGGCCUCUACAGUACCAGUGAGGUAUGACUGGUCUCUACAGUACCAGUGAGGUAUAACUGGCCUCUACACUACCAGUGAGGUAUGACUGGCCUCUACAGUACCAGUGAGGUAUGACUGGCCUCUACAGUACCAGUGAGGUAUGACUGGCCUCUACAGUACCAGUGAGGUAUGACUGGUCUCUACAGUACCAGUGAGGUAUAACUGGCCUCUACACUACCAGUGAGGUAUGACUGGCCUCUACAGUACCAGUGAGGUAUGACUGGCCUCUACACUACCAGUGAGGUAUGAGUGGCAGCCAUUCUCACCUCACCUCACCUAACCUAACCACCAUGGACAGAGACAAUAACAAUGUCCGGCCGCUGGUGUUGGAUCAUCGUCACCUCCACUCACUCUCGUUUCCCGUGUUGGCUAGCAAGUAUUGUCCCAGCAAAACAAAGCCCUGGCCAUUAAACACAACUACAGAAAGUUUAAUCACGAACAAACUCAAAAUAGGGACAUGGAACGUGAGGACAUUAAAUAAGGAUGAUAAGUAUAGUAAGGUUUGUAGGGAAAUGGAAAAGAUUACAGUGGGACAUUCUGGGAUUAAGUGAAGUAAGAUGGCUAGGGUCAAAUAACAUUACUAGUCGUGAAGGAUUUAGGUUCAUAUACUCAGGUGGUAACGAAACAUGAGAGAGGUGUUGGUAUUCUUGUAAACCAUAAGUUGAGCAGAAGUGUUAAGGAAUACCGGCCAGUGUCUGAUAGAGUUUUGUUAGUCAGGUUAAGUGCUAAACCUGUGGACUUGGUAAUAAUACAGAUUUAAUGAAUGUCUGAUUAUAAUGGGUGAUUUUAACGGUAAAGUUGGGAAAGGGGAAGAACCACCAGCAGUAGGACCGUUUGGGUUGGGUGAAAGAAAUAAAAGAGGGAAAAUAUUAAUUGACUUUUGUAUAGAAAAUAAACUGAUAAUUACUAA